GCUGUAGCUCAGCUGAAGAGCACCUGCCUUGCAUGCAGAAGUACUUAAGUUCAAUUCUCAGCAUCUCCA